rnacentral:rRNA from 1 species
GAUGAACGCUGGCGGCGUGCCUAAUACAUGCAAGUCGAGCGAACAGACGAGGAGCUUGCUCCUCUGACGUUAGCGGCGGACGGGUGAGUAACACGUGGAUAACCUACCUAUAAGACUGGGAUAACUUCGGGAAACCGGAGCUAAUACCGGAUAAUAUAUUGAACCGCAUGGUUCAAUAGUGAAAGACGGUUUUGCUGUCACUUAUAGAUGGAUCCGCGCUGCAUUAGCUAGUUGGUAAGGUAACGGCUUACCAAGGCGACGAUGCGUAGGCGACCUGAGAGGGUGGUCGGCCACAAUGGAACUGAGACGCGGUCCUGACUCCUACGGGAGGCAGCAGUAGAGGAUCUUCCGCAAUGGGCGAAAGCCUGACGGAGCAACUCCGCGUGAGUCAUGAGGGUCUUCGGAUCGUGAAACUCUGUUAUUAGGGAAGAACGAAUGUGUAAGUUACUAUGCACGUCUUGACGGUACCUAAUCAGAAGGCCACGGCUAACUACGUG